UACGUAGGGUGCGAGCGUUAAUCGGAAUUACUGGGCGUAAAGCGCGCGUAGGCGGACCUGCAAGUCGGGGGUGAAAGCCCGAGGCUCAACCUCGGAACUGCCUUCGAUACUGCGGGUCUCGAGUCCGGGAGAGGUGAGUGGAAUUCCUAGUGUAGAGGUGAAAUUCGUAGAUAUUAGGAAGAACACCAGUGGCGAAGGCGGCUCACUGGCUCGGUACUGACGCUGAGGCGCGAAAGCGUGGGAAGCAAACAGG
rnacentral:rRNA from 1 species